rnacentral:tRNA from 1 species
GACGACAUAGCCAAGUGGUAAGGCAGAGGACUGCAUAUCCUCCAUCCUCAGUUCGAAUCCGGGUGUCGCCU